rnacentral:lncRNA from 1 species
AUCAAUAGAAGUCCACAGACAAGUAUCGGUGGGGUAAAGACCCAAGGAGGAGAAGGUGAAAAUGAGCAGGACCACGUAAGGAGAAGCUCCAGUCAUCAUGUCAAGACACAAUCUCUUUCUUCAGAGUACACACUCCUUCAAGCUUCCAGCUCAAGUCAAAGAGUUAUUCAGGAGUCCAUGAAAGAGGCAGCCAAGUAAGGUCAGUUGCUAGUAGACGGAUCUACUCACUUCAGCUGAGGAUUCUCAUGUAAAAAUAUGGGUGUGGUGAGAGGAUGACCUUUCAUU